ensembl:lncRNA
CGGAUAGGGCCCUUCUGCUGCCCUUUCUCCGGACACAACUGUGCCGUGGUGUCUCUGGUUUAACCUGAGAAGAUGCUGCUUAGGUGACGACUGAGCCAUAGUCUGCUGGGACAAAUGGGCUUAGCACCUCCCGGCACAACGCUGGGGAGGCCCACGAGCCCACAGGAAAAUGCCACGUGGGGUGAACUGAGUGUGGCUGGAAGGCUCGUUCAGGAGUUCUUGGGUACUGGACACAGCCCCAGCAACAGCCUAAGAAGAAGGGACCUUCUGACCCCACGCUUUGCUUUGCUAACAGAAUCACCGUCUCCUGAGAGACUCCUCCUGAGAGUGUGGUACCCACUGGGGUGUCCGUUAAGGUAUGAGGAUUGCUCAAGAAUGCCUGCACAAGUCCUGCUUCACUGCAGCUGGCCCGUUUUGCUCAGAUAUGCUGAUGGAGAAGGUGCUGCUCUCAGUGCAGGGUUGCUGCAAGCCACACAGGAGGCAGACUCUUGCAAAGCAGCAAUGUGUAGUCCAUCCCCUUCUCACAUUUCUGCGUACUCAGACCAGAGAGGCAGGCGUUUUAUAAGGGGGGUUAAAUCCUAUUUCCACUGAAUCCCACAACCACAAUGCUGUUUCAGGGGGGGCAUUUUUUUCCUGCUUCUUCCUGGCCUCUGGUACCUCUGGGGCCAUAACAAUACCAG